UACGUAGGUGGCGAGCGUUGUCCGGAUUUACUGGGCGUAAAGAGCGCGCAGGUGGUCGUACAAGUCGCGUGUGAAAGCCCCCGGCUCAACUGGGGAGGGUCACGCGAUACUGUUCGACUCGAAGGCAGGAGAGGGAAGCGGAAUUCCCGGUGUAGUGGUGAAAUGCGUAGAUAUCGGGAGGAACACCAGUGGCGAAGGCGGCUUCCUGGCCCGAUACUGACGCUGAGGUGCGAAAGCGUGGGGAGCAAACAGG
rnacentral:rRNA from 1 species